GACGAACGCUGGCGGCGUGCUUAACACAUGCGAGUCGAACGGAAAGGCUCCAGCUUGCUGGCGUACUCGAGUGGCGAACGGGUGAGUAACACGUGGGUAAUCUGCCCUGCACUCUGGGAUAAGCCUGGGAAACUGGGUCUAAUACUGGAUAUGACCUUUCUCCUUAUGGGGUUUGGUGGAAAGUUUUUCGGUGUAGGAUGAGCCCGCGGCCUAUCAGCUUGUUGGUGGGGUGAUGGCUUACCAAGGCGACGACGGGUAGCCGGCCUGAGAGGGUGAUCGGCCACAUUGGGACUGAGAUACGGCCCAGACUCCUACGGGAGGCAGCAGUGGGGAAUAUUGCACAAUGGGCGGAAGCCUGAUGCAGCGACGCCGCGUGAGGGAUGACGGCCUUCGGGUUGUAAACCUCUUUCAGCAGGGACGAAGCGUAAGUGACGGUACCUGCAGAAGAAGCACCGGCUAACUAUGUG
rnacentral:rRNA from 1 species